rnacentral:rRNA from 1 species
AUUGAACGCUGGCGGCAGGCCUAACACAUGCAAGUCGAACGAGUGGCGGACGGGUGAGUAAUGUCUGGGAAACUGCCCGAUGGAGGGGGAUAACUACUGGAAACGGUAGCUAAUACCGCAUACCAUCGGAUGUGCCCAGAUGGGAUUAGCUAGUAGGUGGGGUAACGGCUCACCUAGGCGACGAUCCCUAGCUGGUCUGAGAGGAUGACCAGCCACACUGGAACUGAGACACGGUCCAGACUCCUACGGGAGGCAGCAGUGGGGAAUAUUGCACAAUGGGCGCAAGCCUGAUGCAGCCAUGCCGCGUGUAUGAAGAAGGCCUUCGGGUUGUAAAGUACUUGCAGCGAGGAGGCGUUACCGACAGAAGAAGCACCGGCUAACUCCGUGCCAACAGCCGCGGUAAUAC